rnacentral:rRNA from 1 species
UACGGAGGGUGCAAGCGUUAUCCGGAUUCACUGGGUUUAAAGGGUGCGUAGGUGGGCAGGUAAGUCAGUGGUGAAAUCUCUCAGCUUAACUGAGAAACUGCCAUUGAUACUGCAGGGCUUGAGUACAGAUGAUGUUGGCGGAAUAUGACAUGUAGCGGUGAAAUGCAUAGAUAUGUCAUAGAACACCGAUUGCGAAGGCAGCUGACAAAACUGUAACUGACGCUGAGGCACGAAAGUGUGGGGAUCAAACAGG